rnacentral:rRNA from 1 species
UACAGAGGUCCCGAGCGUUUGUUCGGAUUCAUUGGGCGUAAAGGGUGCGUAGGCGGCUUUCUAAGUUUGAUGUGAAAUCCUGGGGCUCAACCCUGGAACUGCAUUGAAUACUGGGAGGCUAGAGAACUGGAGAGGAGACUGGAAUUUACGGUGUAGCAGUGAAAUGCGUAGAGAUCGUAAGGAAGACCAGUGGCGAAGGCGAGUCUCUGGACAGUUACUGACGCUGAGGCACGAAGGCCAGGGGAGCAAACAGG